rnacentral:rRNA from 1 species
AUGUCAUCCCAUGAUUCGGAGGGAGAAAGCUAUGUGGCUGAUUACCUUGCAGAUCAUAAGGUCUAUGGGGACUUGGAGCAUUGUGGUUGGACCACGGAGGAAGAAGAAGAAUACUACGAGCCUAAGGGAAAUGAGGAGGCGAGCUCAGAUGAAGAUGAAGUCCCAUUACCUCAACCUGGGGACAUGCAUGUGGAGUUCAAAAAGUCAAGCCUCCCCAAUAGAGCAAAGAAACCUAAGAUCGAGUUUAUCCCUUUUCGUCUCUUGCAGGAGAACAAACAAGAACUAUGCAAAAAGGUACUAAGCCUUGAGCGGGAGAUCGAGGACCUAAAGGAGCAGAAUUCUAUCCUCAAGCACAAACUAAGGAAGAAGCGCACGCUGUAA